rnacentral:tRNA from 1 species
UCCCUGGUGGCCUAUCGGUUAAGGUUUUGGCAUUGUCACUGCUGUGGCUCAGGUUCAAUCCCUGGCCUGAGAA